rnacentral:rRNA from 1 species
GUGGGGAAUCUUGCGCAAUGGGCGAAAGCCUGACGCAGCCAUGCCGCGUGAAUGAUGAAGGUCUUAGGAUUGUAAAAUUCUUUCACCGGGGACGAUAAUGACGGUACCCGGAGAAGAAGCUCCGGCUAACUUCGUGCCAGCAGCCGCGGUAAUACGAAGGGGGCUAGCGUUGCUCGGAAUUACUGGGCGUAAAGGGCGCGUAGGCGGACAGCUUAGUCAGAGGUGAAAGCCCAGGGCUCAACCUUGGAAUUGCCUUUGAUACUGGCUGUCUUGAGUUUGGGAGAGGUGAGUGGAACUCCGAGUGUAGAGGUGAAAUUCGUAGAUAUUAGGAGGAACACCAGUGGCGAAGGCGGCCUGCUGGACAUUAACUGACGCUGAGGCGCGAAAGCGUGGGGAGCAAACAGGAUUAGAUACCCGGGUAGUCC